ensembl:misc_RNA Metazoa_SRP Metazoan signal recognition particle RNA
GCCAGGUGUGGUGGGGAACACCUGUAAUCCCAGCUAUUUGGGAGGCUGAGGCAGGAGAAUCACUUAAACCCAGGAGGUGGAGGUUGCAGUGAGUUGAGACUGUAGCACUGCACUCCAGCCUGGGUAUCAGAGUGAGACCCUGUCUCAA